rnacentral:rRNA from 1 species
UACAGAGGGUGCGAGCGUUAAUCGGAAUUACUGGGCGUAAAGCGCGCGUAGGAGGCUUUGCAAGUCGGGUGUGAAAUCCCCAGGCUUAACCUGGGAACUGCAUUCGAGACUGCAUUGCUAGAGUAUGGGAGAGGGAAGUGGAAUUUCCGGUGUAGCGGUGAAAUGCGUAGAUAUCGGAAGGAACAUCAGUGGCGAAAGCGACUUCCUGGACCAAUACUGACGCUCAUGUGCGAAAGCGUGGGGAGCAAACAGG